rnacentral:rRNA from 1 species
GCUUGAAUGAAAGGUCGGAUGAGAGACUAGCUGUCUUUUUUUAUUAAAAGAAUUUAACUUUUAAGUGAAAAGGCUUAAAUAUACUAGUGGGACGAUAAGACCCUAUAAAAUUUAAUAUAAAUUGAAUAAAAUUUGAGGAUUUAGCCUAAUUCAAUUUUUUUUAGUUUAUAUUUCGUUGGGGAGACGAUGAUAUAAUCUUAACUGUCUUUUUUAUAUAAUAGUAAUAAUUAGAUUUUGAUCCUUUAUUAAAGAUUUUAAGAUUAAGUUACUUUAGGGAUAACAGCGUAAUUUUCUUUGAGAGUUCUUAUCGACAAGAGUAGUUGCGACCUCGAUGUUGAAUUAAAGUUACUGGCACGGUGUAGCCGCUUGCUUUGUGGGUCUGUUCGACC